CUUUGAUCUUUUUCUUCAAUAUUUUGUUCAGUUUUAGCUAAGUAUCUUUGGAUCGGAGUGUUUAUAAGAGUUUCGGGCUCGUGUAAUUCAUGACAAGUUGGCCGAACUUUCGUGAUUGUGGAUGUAUUUGCAGUAUGCGUACGCUUCGUUUUUGGUUGCGUAUUACUCAUAAAAAUUUCCGAUUUGUCUAUUUGUUUCCCUUUAUAAAAGUCAAGUCGUCGUUUACGGAUUGUUUCAGAACAAUUAUUCUGAUUAUCAGGAUCAUUAUAAAAGCGAUCAGAAGUAAAAUUUUCAGUACCUGAUUCCAUUGGCGUUGUAGUAUUUGUUUU
rnacentral:lncRNA from 1 species